rnacentral:lncRNA from 1 species
CUCUGUGGUCACAUCAUUGUUGGGACUACUAACAUGCAUAUAAAGAUGUGUUAAACAGUCUGCAGCUGAAAAAGGUGUCUACCGAUAAUGUCCUUUUAACUAAACCAACAAAAAAAAUGUAAUCAAAAACAAAACAUAAUCCCUAAAAUAAGAGGCAGAAUGAUACAUAGGCAUAGGGAUUAGACAUAUAGACAUGGGAUUAGACAUAUAGACAUGGGAUUAGACAUAUAGACACGGGGAUUAGACAUAUAGACAGGGGAUUAGACAUAUAGACAUGGGAUUAGACAUAUAGACACGGGGAUUAGACAUAUAGACAUGGGAUUAGACAUAUAGACACGGGGAUUAGACAUAUAGACAUGGGAUUAGACAUAUAGACAUGGGAUUAGACAUGGGGAUUAGACAUAUAGACAUGGGGAUUAGACAUAUAGACAUGGGAUUAGACAUAUAGGCACGGGGAUUAGACAUAUAGACAUGGGAUUUGACAUAUAGACAUGGGAUUAGACAUAUAGACACGGGGAUUAGACAUAUAGACACGGGAUUAGACAUAUAGACAUGGGGAUUAGACAUAUAGACACGGGGAUUAGACAUAUAGACAUGGGAUUAGACAUAUAGACAUGGGAUUAGACAUAUAGACAUGGGGAUUAGACAUAUAGACACGGGGAUUAGACAUAUAGACAUGGGGAUUAGACAUAUAGGCACGGGGAUUAGACAUAUAGACACGGGGAUUAGACAUAUAGGCAUGGGGAUUAGACAUAUAGGCAUGGGGAUUAGACAUAUAGGCACGGGGAUUAGACAUAUAGGCAUGGGGAUUAGACAUAUAGGCACGGGGAUUAGACAUAUAGGCAUGGGGAUUAGACAUAUAGGCACGGGGAUUAGACAUAUAGACACGGGGAUUAGACAUAUAGACACGGGGAUUAGACAUAUAGACACGGGGAUUAGACAUAUAGACACGGGGAUUAGACAUAUAGACAUGGGGAUUAGACAUAUAGACACGGGGAUUAGACAUAUGGGGAUUAGACAUAUAGACACGGGGAUUAGACAUAUAGACACGGGGAUUAGACAUAUAGACAUGGGGAUUAGACAUAUAGACAUGGGGAUUAGACAUAUAGACAUGGGAUUAGACAUAUAGACACGGGAUUAGACAAUAGACACAGGGAUUAGACAUAUAGACACUGGGAUUAGACAUAUAGACAUGGGUAACAAACAAUGUAGCAUUUCUUCGUUUGUGGGAAGGGAAAUUCAAUAAUAUUAGCCGUGGAUGACACAAAUAUCCAUUCUCUCAAAGAAAAGACAAUCUUUUUUUCUGCCAUAUUAGCAGAAUCACAAAUGAUCAAGCGAUGGUGAGACUGUAGUACCACACUACACAGUCCUUCUGCUGAAAGCUCACAGAGUUAAUUUCAGCAUCCACGCACAGUCACAC